ensembl:lncRNA
CAGAAAGGUGCUUGGUAUAAAUCUGGAGUAAAUAUGCCGGUUGAUAAGCAAUCUGAAUGCCUGCUGAGGACUAAAGUUAUUAUUAAACAUCUGAAAGUAAAGAAAAAUUUACAUACAGAUUUGAAUUCCACACAACUGGAUGGGGAAGAUUUGUGCCUUCACUCAAGCCCACAUUCUUAAACUUGCUGGUGGUAACUGCAGUGGAACAAGGGAUGUGCUUCAAGGUGAAAAUGUAUCAGACAGAAUUCCUUUUGAAAGCUUGAGUUUUGCAGUUUAACUUUGAGUAAACAAUUUGUCAGUGUCUAAUUAUUGUGGAUCUAUUUGCCUUGGUGCAUACUGGCUACCAUUAAAAAUGCUAACAGUUACAAAGGGAACAGCAGCAUAAAAAGAAAUCUUUCUGUUAAAAAGAAAGCUCUGUUUUCCUUUACUUUACUUUAGGCUGCUCCGAAAGUAAUGCUUUCUAUUUUAUGAUGUUGGUCCACAAUGCCAGAGGCAGAUGUUGGUUGUAUGGCAAUAGAGGUUGAACCUUCCCACCAACAUUCCAUCACACGUUGUUGCAUUAUGACAGAUGGCAGCAAAGGGGCAGUCUGAGACAAUGGGGUCUAACAAGGAAGUGUGUAUGAAGCAAAGGGGUGGGGCUGAAUUCCUCCAUGAGGAAAAAAUGGCUAAUGGUGGAGAAAUGUGUUGAAAAAUAGCUUUUUGUAGCUGAGAAUUUUCUCUAUCAAAUAGUGUUGUUGUGUUCUUUGUAUCUGUUGCGGUUUCCAAGGAAAUAACAUUUCCUUAUAUUUCCAAUAUUUUUGAGCAACCUAUGUACAUGCAGGGUGCCCGGGCCCCACCUCUGCUGUGUCACCUGCUCUCGUGGGGACUGGCAGCUUUACAGAGGUCUCUUCACUCUGUUUUCUUCUCCACGUUUGCAAGCCCUUCUCACAUAGCAAUCCCCAAUUCCGCUGCAGAACACAGAUGCAGUGGUGCUGAUCACCUCAGAAAAUGAAGGCAGUAGACAAUUUAUCAUGUAGAUUGUCUCACACGUAUCCCUUAAAAUUCACAUCGUCCAAAUACAGCACUUUAUUUUGGCAAGCGGUUAUGUAUUCAGCUUUUAGGUCUUUACUUCUUGGACGAUUCAGAAUGCAGUAAUUCAGGAAGUAAUAUUUUAAAACAUCUAGUACAAGAAAUGGGGCCACUUUCUCAUACUCUAUUGCAACCAUCCAAAGCUAUUCCUUUCAUAGUCUAAAAGAAAGGGGAAGGGACAAAAAAAUGUUCAGAGGGAACUGCCAGCAAAUGCCAUACAUUUCUAUUUCAUUUUUCUAUCUCUUUUAGUGUUCAACUGUCCUAAGUUCUGAAACAUUUCAUUUAAUAACAUGGUAUUAAUUUUGGGAACACCAGAUCUAGUCUUCUUGCCAAGUACAUGGGACUGGUUUGAUAUCUUAGCAAUGAAUAGCACCUUAACCCUUGACUAUUAUUAACUCUUGUAAUGCUAAGUUGGCAUUAUAAUGUUCACAGGGCUUUUCUCUCCAGACCAAAGAAUGAAAGAUUUUAUCAAGGCAUGAAGUACAUUCCAGCAGUAUGGACAAUUUCUUUAUUGCUUAAAGUGUAGCUUUAAAAAUCUAUAGAUCCUACUUAUGAACAAAAAAUUCCUUAUACAGCUGUAUUGCGUUGUUUCCACAUUUGCUUAAACACAGG